rnacentral:misc_RNA from 1 species
GUGGGUGUUCCCUAAAUUCAACUGAAAUUUCACAUUUCAAUCGAAUGUUCCUCCUCCUGCUGCUGCUGCGGCCAUUUUCAAGCGGUUGCGGUUGUGGGAGAGCUUAAAGAGGGGAUUGAGAUUGGGAUUGGGAUUUUCCCUCUCUGCAUAACACCCAUGGCUCCCAGCAAGUUGAAUUCCUCUGGAGAAGGAAACUUUUCUAGCCCCAUGGCGGAGAAUGGUUUUCUUAAUGCAACUUCUCUGUUAAAUUCUGAGAAGGCUGUCCAGGAACUUCUUCAACGGUCUCCAUUGAGGGAGACUGAUGAUCACCUUGUUGAGUUUUCAGAGGCCUUGAGAACUGUUGCAAAAGCAUUAAGAAAAGCAGCUGAAGGUAAGGCUGCUGCACAGGCUGAGGCUGAUGAAUGGAAGCGCAAAUUUGAAC